GCUUGAUGACUUUCAAACACAACCACCAAAGUUGUGCUUCUUUGGACAACUGUUCUAAAACCAUGAAAGGGCAUUUUGGUUUCUUCUUCAGUGUCUUAUAAGAGAACAUUAUAGUGUUUCUAUGCAAAAGGAAACAUACUUUCUUUGACCGUGGAAAGUUCCAGUAUCUCCAAUACUAUUCCAAAGGACUUGACUUUGCAAUAGGACCAUGGAAGACUAUCAGUCUGUGGAUGAUGUGUUUUAUAAAUGGUUUUGAUAAAAUAAUACUCUGGAUUCAUGCAUGUGUAUGUCUGUUUACCUUAAGCCAUGAAAUGGAGGAUGAACCUUGGAUAAGGCAGAGGCCACUUUGAACAGUGAUACAAUUCAGAUCGUGGAGUCAGUGACCUCUGCUGGUUGGAAUAUGACAUUACAGGAUGGUGAUGAAUCAAGUGGAGACUGGCUGGCUGCUGAAGGAUGGAUGAACACAAUGGACUCAACUUCCACAUUGUUCUGUUCAUAACUCAUCAGUCUUUGGUCUACGCUCCACAAACACAUCAAGUAUCUACUAUUAAAUGUGGGCUGGGUUUUCACUGUUGGAAAUGGAUGGACUGUUUCAGGAAAAACCUUCAAGUCACAUAUCAUAUAUGCAAUCUAAGACUUACUAAACCAGUCGACUUAGUUGGCUUACUGCAAAACAAGAACCAUUACUGACCACCUACUUCUGUGUUGGACUACAAGGUGAAACAGCCAUUCUGUUAGAAGGAACAACAUUACAAUGUGAUGGACUACAAGGUGAAACAGCCAUUCUGUUAGAAGGAACAACAUUACAAUGUGAUGGACUACAAGGUGAAACAGCCAUUCUGUUAGAAGGAACAACAUUACAAUGUGAUGGACUACAAGGUGAAACAGCCAUUCUGUUAGAAGGAACAACAUUACAAUGUGUUGGACUACAAGGUGAAACAGCCAUUCUGUUAGAAGGAACAACAUUACAAUGUGAUGGACUACAAGGUGAAACAGCCAUUCUGUUAGAAGGAACAACAUUACAAUGUGAUGGACUACAAGGUGAAACAGCCAUUCUGUUAGAAGGAACAACAUUACAAUGUGAUGAUAUCAGGAUCUCC
rnacentral:lncRNA from 1 species